UGUCAAAGAAAAACAGAGAAGGAAGGAAAGAAGGAAGGAAGGAAGGCAGGCAGGCAGGCAGGCCUCUAUGAGAAACAUAGUUCCCUGGCCAGCCUCUAGCUGCUGUUUUUUUUGUGGGGGAGUGGGGAUGGAGUCUCACUCUGUUGCCCAGGUUGAAGUGCAGUGGUACAAUCUCAGCUCACUGCAACCUCUGCCUGCCAGGUUCAAGCGAUUCUCCUGCUUCAGCCUCCUGAGUAGCUGGGGUUACAAGCAUGAACCACCAUGUUUGGCUAAUUUUUUCUUUUUCUUUCUUUCUUUCUUUCUUUCUUUCUUUCUUUCUUUCUUUCUUUUUUUUUUGAGACAGAUUCUUGCUCCGUAGCCCGAGCUAGAGUGCAGUGGUGCAAUCUUGGCUCAUUACAACCUCCGUCUCCCAGGUUCAAGUGAUUCUCCUGCCUCAGCCUCCUGAGUAGCUGGGACUACAGUGGCGAGCCACCAUGCCCAGCUAGUUUUUGUAUUUUUAGUAGAGACGGGGUUUCACUGUGUUGGUCAGGCUGGUCUCGAACUCCUGACCUCAGGUGAUCUGCCUGCAUCGGCCUCCCAAAGUGCUGGGAUUACAGGCAUGAGCCACUGUGCCCGGCCACGCCUGGCUAAUUUUUUGUAUUUUUAGUAGAGAAAGGGUUUCACCAUGUUGGCUAGUCUGGUUUCAAACUCCUGACCUCAAGUGAUUUGCCUGCCUUGGGCUCUCAAAGUGCUAGGAUUACAGGUGUGAGCCAUCAUGCCCAGCCAGCUGCCAUUUUUGGAUCCACCUCAGUUCUCACACUGAGGCCACUUUCUGGUUUACUUCCACUCAAUGACUGCACACAGUAGGGGUACUAAGUGUGAGGUACAUAAUACACAGCCACUGAUUUAGUAAAUGCAUUUUUUCCCCUACUUCUAUCAGGAAAGAGACUAGAAAUAGUUCACAUCCAUGUGGGACGACAAUAUUUACUCAGUUUUGCCCCAAGAAUAAUAUUUGCUCCUUUGAUGAUAAAAUGUGAAUUAUAGGCUGUUAUAGUUUGGAUAUUUGUCCCCACCCACAUCUCAUGUUGAAUUGUAAUCCCCAGUGCUGAAUGUGGGGCCUGCCCAGAGGUGUUUGGAUCAUGGGGGUGGAUCCCUCAUAGCUUGGUACUGUCUUUUCAGUUCUCUCGAGAUCUAGUCAUUUAAAAGUGUGUAGCAUCUGCCCCCUGACCUUGUUCCUGCUUUCACCAUGUGAUGUGCCUGCUUCCCCUUUGCCUUCUGCCACGAUUGGAAGUUUCCUGAGGCCUCCCCAGAAGCAGAUGCUGCUAUGCUUCCUGUACAGCCUGUAGAACCAUGAGCCAAUUAAACCUCUUUUCUUAUAAAUUACCCAGUCUCAGCUAUUUCUGUAUAGCAAUCUAAGAGAAAAUUGGCACCGGGGUGGGGAAUUACUAUAAAGAUACCUGAAAAUGUGGAAGUCAUUUUGGAACUAUGUAACAGGCAGAGGCUGAAAGAGUUUGGAAGGCUCAGAAAAAGACAGGAAGAUGAGGGAAGGUUUAAAACUUCUUAGAGACUGGUUAAAUUGUUGUGACCAAAAUGCUGAUAGUGAUAUGGACAGCGAGAUCCAAGCUGCUGAGUCUCAGAUGGAAAUGAUGAAGAAAGUUGGAGCUUACAUUUAAAAGGGAAGCAGAAUAUAAAAGUUUGGAAAUUUUGUAGUCUGCCCAUGUGGCAAAGAAAGAAAAAGCUUUCUCAAAAGAGGGAUACAAGCAGGCUGUGGAGCAACCACUUGCUAGAGAUAUUUGCGUAAUUAAAAAGGAGUGAGGCCGGGCGCGGUGGUUCACCCCUGUAAUCCCAGCACUUUGGGAGGCCGAGGCUGGCGGAUCAUGAGGUCAGGAGAUAGCGACCAUCCUGGCUAACACGGUGAAACCCCAUCUCUACUAAAAAUACAAAAAAUUAACCAGGUUCAGUGGCGGGUGCCUGUAGUCCCAGCUACUCGGGAGUCUGGGGCAGGAGAAUGGUAUGAACCUGGGAGGCGGAGCUUGCAGUGAGCCGAGAUCGCGCCACUGCACUCCGGCCUGGGCAAAAGAGCGAGACUCCGUCUAAAAAAAAAAGGAGCCAGUGCUAAUGUGUCUGGAAUUGGUGGGUUCUUGGUCACACUGACUUCAAGAAUGAAACUGCGGACCCUUGCGGUGAGUGUUACAGCUCUUAAGGUGGUGUGUCUGGAGUUUGUUCCUUCUGAUGUUCGGAUGUGUUCGGAGUUUCUUCCUUCUGGUGGGUUCGUGGUCUCGCUGGCUCAGGAGUGAAGCUGCAGACCUUUGCGGUGAGUGUUACAGCUCUUAAGGCGGCACAUCUGGAGUUGUUCGUUCCUCCCGGCGGGCUCGUGGUCUCGCUGGCUUCAGGAGUGAAGCUGCAGGCCUUCGUGGUGAGUGUUACAGCUCAUAAAAGCAGCAUGGACCCAAAGAGUGAGCAGUAGCAAGAUUUAUUGCAAAGAGCAAAAGAACAAAGCUUCCACAGUGUGGAAGGGGACCCAAGCGGGUUGCCACUGCUGGCUGGGGCAGCCUGGUUUCAUUCUCUUAUCUGGCCCCACCCACGUCCUGCUGAUUGGUAGAGCCCAGUGGUCUGUUUUGACAGGGCGCUGAUUGGUGCGUUUACAAUCCCUGAGCUGGAUACAAAGGUUCUCCAAGGCCCCACCAGAGCAGAUAGAUACAGAGUGUCCAUUGGUGCACUCACAAACCCUGAGCUAGACACAGGGUGCUGAUUGGUGUGUUUACAAACCUUGAGCUAGAUACAGAGUGCCGAUUGGUGUAUUUACAAUCCCUGAGCUAGACAUAAAGGUUCUUCACGGCCCCACCAGAGCAGCUAGAUACAGAGUGUCAAUUGGUGCACUCACAAACCCUGAGCUAGACACAGGGUGCUGACUGGUGUGUUUACAAACCUUGAGCUAGAUACAGAGUGCCGAUUGGUGUAUUUAUGUCUAGCUCAGGGAUUGUAAAGGUUCUUCACGGCCCCACCAGAGCAGCUAGAUACAGAGUGUCAAUUGGUGCACUCACAAACCCUGAGCUAGACACAGGGUGCUGACUGGUGUGUUUACAAACCUUGAGCUAGAUACAGAGUGCCGAUUGGUGUAUUUAUGUCUAGCUCAGGGAUUGUAAAGGUUCUCCAAAGCCCCACCAGAUUCAGGAGCCCAGCUGGCUUCACCCGGUGAAUCCCGCACCGGGGCUGCAGGUGGAGCUGCCUGCCAGUCCCCUGCGUGCGCCCGCACUCCUCAGCCCUUGGGUGGUCGAUGGGACUGGGUGCCGUGGAGCAGGGGGUGGCCCUCGUCGAGGAGACUCGGGCUGCACAGGAGCCCAUGGAGGGGGUG
rnacentral:lncRNA from 1 species